CGCACAUUGCGCUCCCUGGUAUUCCGGGGAGCAUGCCUGUUCGAGCGUCAUUAUCAACCAUCAAGCCCUGCUUGGCAUUGGGAUGGGUCCCCUGCGGACCGCCCCUAAACGAUUCGGCGGCGGUACUGAACCUCAAGCGUAGUAAAUCUCCCGCUUUUUUGGUUAGGUACUGUUUGCCUUGCUUUCACCUUAAGGUUGACCUCGGAUCAGGUAGGGAUACCCGCUGAACUUAA
rnacentral:misc_RNA from 1 species